GACGAACGCUGGCGGCGUGCCUAAUACAUGCAAGUUGAGCGCUGAAGGUUGGUACUUGUACCAACUGGAUGAGCAGCGAACGGUUGAGUAACGCGUGGGGAAUCUGCCUUUGAGCGGGGGACAACAUUUGGAAACGAAUGCUAAUACCGCAUAAAAACUUUAAACACAAGUUUUAAGUUUGAAAGAUGCAAUUGCAUCACUCAAAGAUGAUCCCGCGUUGUAUUAGCUAGUUGGUGAGGUAAAGGCUCACCAAGGCGAUGAUACAUAGCCGACCUGAGAGGGUGAUCGGCCACAUUGGGACUGAGACACGGCCCAAACUCCUACGGGAGGCAGCAGUAGGGAAUCUUCGGCAAUGGACGAAAGUCUGACCGAGCAACGCCGCGUGAGUGAAGAGGGUUUUCGGAUCGUAAAACUCUGUUGGUAGAGAAGAACGUUGGUGAGAGUGGAAAGCUCAUCAAGUGACGGUAACUACCCAGAAAGGGACGGCUAACUACGUG
rnacentral:rRNA from 1 species